rnacentral:rRNA from 1 species
AGUGAACGCUGGCGGCAGGCCUAACACAUGCAAGUCGAACGGCAGAACAGUAAUAGCUUGCCCUUACGGGGGGCGAGGGGCGGACGGGUGAGGAAUACAUCCGUAGCUAUGUUUUCGAGCGGGAUAAAGUAGGGAAAAUUACGCUAAUACCCCAUAGGACCAACGGGUGAAAGCAGGGGAUCUUCGGACAUUGCGCGAUUCAAUGAGCCGAUGUCGGAUUAGCUAGUUGGAGGGGUAACGGCGCACCAAGCCGACGAUCGGUAGCUGGUCUGAGAGGGUAAGCAGCCACACUGGACCAGAGACACGGUCCGAACCCCUACGGAAGGCAGCGGGGGGGAGUAUUGGACAAUGGGGGCAAGCCUGAUCCAGCCUGACCGCGUGGGUGAAGAAGGCCUCCGGGUGGUAAAGCCCUUUUGUUGGGAAAGAGAAGCAGCAGGUUAAUACCUCGCUGUUCUGAGGGAACCCAAGAAAAAGGCACGGCCAAACUCGGG